UACGGGGGGGGCAAGCGUUGUUCGGAAUUACUGGGCGUAAAGGGCUCGUAGGCGGCCAACUAAGUCAUACGUGAAAUCCCUCGGCUUAACCGGGGAACUGCAUCUGAUACUGGAUGGCUUGAGAUUGGGAGAGGGAUGCGGAAUUCCAGGUGUAGCGGUGAAAUGCGUAGAUAUCUGGAGGAACACCGGUGGCGAAGGCGGCAUCCUGGACCAACACUGACGCUGAGGAGCGAAAGCCAGGGGAGCAAACGGG
rnacentral:rRNA from 1 species